rnacentral:rRNA from 1 species
GGUUAAGGAAUAAAGGGCACACAGUGAAUGCCUAGGCACUAAGAGCCGAAGAAGGACGCAACUAACGGCGAAACGCCACGGGGAGCAGUAAGUACGCGACGAUCCGUGGGAAUCCGAAUGGGGAAACCCACCAUGUGGAAGACAUGGUAUCCUACACUUGUGGUAGGAGGGGAAACGCAGGGAACUGAAAUAUCUAAGUACCUGCAGGAAAAGAAAGUAACAACGAUUCUGCUAGUAGCGACGAGCGAACGCGGAGGAGCCUAACACCAGAAUAGUUACAAAACUUUAUUUUAAAAGAAUGGCGUGGGAAAGCCAACCAAAGAAGGUGAGAGUCCUGUAUUUGAAAAGAUAAAGACUAGGGUGUUGAAAAGUACGGCGAGACACGAGGAAUCUUGUCGGAAGAUGUGAGGACCAUCUCAUAAGGCUAAAUACUCCUUAGUGACCGAUAGUGAACCAGUACCGUGAGGGAAAGGUGAAAAGAACCCCGGGAGGGGAGUGAAAGAGAACCUGAAACUGUGUGCUUACAAUUAGUCAGAGCUCGUUAAUGAGUGAUGGCAUGCCUUUUGUAGAAUGAACCGGCGAGUUACGGUAUCUGGCAAGGUUAAGCUUUAAGGAGCGGAGCCGAAGCGAAAGCGAGUCUGAAUAGGGCGUUAAGUCAGGUGCUGUAGACCCGAAACUGGGUGAGCUAGCCAUGAGCAGGUUGAAGUUUGGGUAAGACCAAAUGGAGGACCGAACCAGGGUACGUUAAAAAGUGCUUGGAUGACUUGUGGCUAGGGGUGAAAUUCCAAUCGAACCCAGAGAUAGCUGGUUCUCCCCGAAAUAGCUUUAGGGCUAGCGUUAGCGUAAUAAGUUUUAUGAAGGUAGAGCACUGAAUGUGUGAUGGCCCCACCUCGGGGUACUGAGCCCAAUCAAACUCCGAAUGUCAUAAAAUGUUGGCUAGCAGUCAGACUACGGGUGAUAAGGUUCGUGGUCAAAAGGGAAAGAGCCCAGACCGCCAGAUAAGGUCCCAAAAUUGAUGCUAAGUGGAAAAGGAAGUGGAGAUGCACAAACAACUAGGAGGUUGGCUUAGAAGCAGCUAUCCUUUAAAGAGUGCGUAAAAGCUCACUAGUCGAGUGAAUCUGCGCCGAAAAUGUACCGGGGCUAAGCAUCAUACCGAAUCUGCGGAUUGAUAAUUUAUUAUCAGUGGUAGGGGAGCGUUCCAACAGCGGUGAAGCAUGAUCGGAAGGACAUGUGGAGUGGUUGGAAGUGAGAAUGCCGGUGUAAGUAACGAAAAGAUAGGUGAGAAUCCUAUCCGUCGAAAACCCAAGGUUUCCAGGGGAAGGUUCGUCCGCCCUGGGUAAGUCGGGGCCUAAGGUGAGGCUGAAAAGCGUAGCCGAUGGAUAGCAGGUAGAGAUUCCUGCACUAGUUAGUAAACUGAUGGAGUGACAAAGCAGGCUAACAUCCGCCCCUUUAGUGGAUUGGGGACAAGGGAUCGAGGUUGAUGUGUAGGCAAAUCCGCACAUCAUUAAGACUGAGAUCCGGUAGGUAAAGGAUGAUGACGUCAAACUUUCAAGAAAAGCUUCUAGGGUUAAUUUACUAACUACCCGUACCGUAAACCGACACAGGUGGGUGGGUAGAGAAUACUAAGACGCGCGAGAAAACCCUUGUUAAGGAACUCGGCAAAAUGACUCCGUAACUUCGGGAUAAGGAGGACUUUUAAUGAAAAAGAAAAGUCGCAGAGAAUAGGCCCAAGCGACUGUUUAUCAAAAACAUAGCUCUCUGCAAAACCGUAAGGUGAAGUAUAGGGGGUGACGCCUGCCCGGUGCUGGAAGAUUAAGAGGAGAUGUUAGGCAACGAAGCAUUGAAUUGAAGUCCCAGUAAACGGCGGCCGUAACUAUAACGGUCCUAAGGUAGCGAAAUUCCUUGUCGGGUAAGUUCCGACCCGCACGAAAGGCGUAACGAUUUGGGCACUGUCUCAACAAGGGACUCGGUGAAAUCAAGCUGCCGGUGAAAACGCCGGCUACCCGCGACAGGACGAAAAGACCCCAUGGAGCUUUACUGUAGCUUGAUAUUGACAUUGGGUGUAAGAUGUACAGGAUAGGUGGGAGACUGAGAAUCUAGAACGCUAGUUUUGGAGGAGUCGCCCUUUGGAUACCACCCUUCGUGCAUCUGAUGUCUAACCCGCCUGAGUGGAUCAGGGGGAACAGUGUCUGGUGGGCAGUUUGACUGGGGCGGUCG